AAUAUGUCAAAAGGGAGGAAACUCUGUUGCAGCGACGCCGCGUGAACGAUGAUGGACUUAGGGUCGUACAGUACUGUCCUUGUAGACGAUAAUGAGGGUACACAAGGGAGAAGACCUUGCAUACUCCGUGCGUGCAGACGCUGUAAUACGUAGGGGGCAAGCGUUGUCCGGAUUUAUUGGGCGUAAAGGGUGCGUAGGCGGCCUUUUAAGUCGGUUGUGGAAGGUCACGGCUCAACCGUGGUAAGCAUUUGAAAAGGGAAGGAUAGAGUUAAGGAGGGGAAAGUGGAUUUCAUAGUGUAGCGGUGAAAUGCAUAGAUAUUAGGAGGAACACCAGUGGCGAAGGCAGCUUACUGGUCCGGAACAGACGCAGGGGUGCGAGAGAGUGGGGAGCAAACA
rnacentral:rRNA from 1 species